AAAAAACACUUUUCAAAUAAAAUUUCUUACAUACUUUCGACAAACUUCUUUGUUUAAAAUUUAUAAUGGAUAACAAAAGAGUAGAUAAGUUUGAUGUAAAUGAUCCUAACUUUUACAAUAAUUUGCAAGAUGAAAUUGAAACUGACUUGGCUCGCUUAAAAAAAAGUGUGGAGGUGGUGCGAAAUUUACGAAUGGUCGCGGCAGAAAUGGAAGUGGAAACAGCAUCAUUGUACCACGCGGAACUGUGGCGUGAUGUUGAAGAAUUAAAGGCGCUCAACGAAUCAGAAACCAGUCUUAAACCAGUGCCUCCCGAAAAUGUUUAAAAAAACAUUUGUAGCAGCGCUUGUACCUAUUUAAUUUUAAAACUAAUAAGUACUUAACGAGACCGAGGUAAAAAUAAGAACUUCAUAGAAGUAUAAAAUUACUCGUAGAUACAUAGAUCCUGCAACAUUUUGCUAACGAAAUUUAAAGUAUGUAACUAUUUGUCGUAAGUUAGGUACCAGAUUUUCAAAGUUUCAUCUUUAAUUAUUGCAUUUAUGUUUAUUAACGUAUGUAUUAAAUAUUUCGUUCUCAUAUUAUGUACCUAUUAGUAAAGUUAGUUAUGAAAUACAGUUGGGUUGUCCUAAAUUAGAGGUAUUCUCACUCUUG